UACGUAGGGGGCUAGCGUUGUCCGGAUUUAUUGGGCGUAAAGAGCGUGUAGGCGGCCAGGUAGGUCCGUUGUGAAAACUCGAGGCUCAACCUCGAGACGUCGGCGGAAACCCUCUGGCUAGAGUCCGGAAGAGGAGAGUGGAAUUCCUGGUGUAGCGGUGAAAUGCGCAGAUAUCAGGAAGAACACCCGUGGCGAAGGCGGCUCUCUGGGACGGUACUGACGCUGAUGAGCGAAAGCCAGGGGAGCAAACGGG
rnacentral:rRNA from 1 species